rnacentral:rRNA from 1 species
GUGUUUAGCCCAAACACUGAGGAGAUGGUCAAGGAUACAAUCAAUAGUUCGCUAAAUAUUAUGAGUGAGAACUGGAAUGAGAAGUAUCUCGGACUCCCCCAUGUCGGAAGGUCUAGGAGGAAAGCUUUUGCUUACAUCAAGAAGAAUAUGUGCAACCGGGUCUAUGGUUGGCAGGAGAAAUUCUUGGCAUAGGAGAGUUAGGAGGUCCUGAUUAAAGCAGUGGCGCCGGCGAUUCCUACCUUUGCGAUGUCUUGUUUCGAUCUUACCAAGAACUUCUGCAUGAAAUUGAACACUCUCUUGGGGAAGUUCUGGUGGAGCCAACAAGAUAAGAAAAACCCCAUGCACAGACUAAGUUGGGAUGAGCUAACAGAGACUGAAGCCAUGGGAGGGCUCAGAUUUUGGGAUAUGCACAACUUCAACAUUGCCAUGCUAUCGAGGCAGGGAUGGGCGUUGAUCCAAAAGCCAGAGAGUCUAUUCGCAAGAGUGCUUAAAGCACGAUACUAUUCGCAUUGUAGUGUACUGGAGGCGAUCCCUCAUGAUGGAAUCUCAUACUCAUGGCGGAGUAUACUUCAUGGCCUAGAGCUAGUGAAAGAAGGAAUUUGGCGGAUUGGGGGAGGGUCCAAAGUGGAUAUCUGGAAUGACUUGUGGAUUCUGAGGGCUUGGUCGAGGCGAGUCAUUACUCUGAACGGUGCAAGCCUACUGACAACGGUAGAUGAGCUAAUAAGCCAGCUAACUGGUCAGUGGGAUGGAACACUUGCGAGAGAUACAUACCGUGCGGAGGAUGCCAAUCAUAUAAUGCAAAUUCCUCUAAGGGACGGUGUCGAGGAUUUUAUAGCCUAGCACUUUGACAUCAAAGGAAAUCAUUCUGUCAAAAGUGCUUAUAAGCUUCAUGUUGAGCUACGUAAGCAGGAACGAAGCCCUAGGGCCAGUUCUUCUGGCGCUGGCCAUCUAGAUGGAGUUGCAGAUCCAUCUUGGAAAAGAAUCUGGUAAAUACCGUGUCGUCGGAAUCUGUAGAUAUUCAUUUGGAGACUACGCCACGAGUCCCUUGCCAUAUGUGCAAAUCUGAUGAAAAGAGGCCUCAAAUUGGUGAUGGGGAACGUUGCAUGA